GGCGAGGGGGCGCCCCGGGCAGACGCGGCCCCCUGGGGGUCGUGCCCCUCGCCCCUUCCGCCGCCAGCCCGGCCGACACCCGCCGCGGGGCGUGUGUGCGCGCGGGGAGAGACUGCAGAGGCCGGGUGACUCGUGCUGAAGGAGAAAGGCAACAAAAAAUAAAAAAGGAACAGAUGACUUCAUUCUCGGGAAGGCUCCGUCCUACGUGGACCAAUUUCCUGGGGACACAGCUCGGCUGCCGUUGGAAGCACUUAAAACUAAACCAGAUAAAGACCAGAAAAUUCUCAGCAUUGCCUGAGCCGAUCAAGGGCAGGUUGGUGGUGCGUGAGCCCUGGGUGUGCAGGGAGGAGGGUCCAUUCCUCCACCCGCGCUGGGGGCUUGGCUUCCAACACACACCUCCUCGCCUCCCCACUCAGACUCCCUCCAGUACCCCGAGAGGGUGAGCAACUGUCCCAAGGUCACACAGCCAGUUUUUUAUUCUGCUUGGACACCCGCAGGGACAAACCCGGCAGAGGCUGGGGAACGAAAGCCAGUGGCUGGCCUGGGAGCCUUGGAAGAGGGACACAAGGCUUGGGAUUUGGUCACCGCAGCCUCUCCUGGUCUCUUGGCUUUAGGUGAUCGACCAGGGCUUUUCCAGGCCCAGGAUCGCCUCUCCAGACUCCCCGGGAGUCUAAAGGGACAAGCCGGUUCCCGACUAAGGCAAGAUAAAGUUAUCUUCAGCUCCGUUCCCAGCAACCACCAGUUCUCAGCUUUGGAGCCCUUCCUGAAUGCAUGAAUCAAAAGCCUUGGGCUCCAAGAAAAGAGAGUUACCCCCCCCCCCCCACUCCCCAGUCCUUCCCCAGUCCUUUACUGCCAGCUCCAUGAUAUGGGAAGGUAGCACCGCCCUCCACUCCUCCCCCUGGGCUGGCCUUCCAAGCAAAACUCAUCUCUGGCCACAGGUUUAGAGUUUAGCUGAUGUGAGAGUCCUGCCCCUGGGCAGUGUGUGAAUAGGACUGAGAUGACAGAUGACACCCAGCAUCAUCCAGAGGUAGGAGGACCUUGGAGAUUAUGCAGACCAACCACUCCUGCGUCCCUGUUUUACAGGUGGGCAAACUGAGGCCCAGAGAGGGGAAGAGACCUGACUGAGAUCUGCCACUGGUUAGAGGUGUUCUUGCCUUCCAUUAGGGUGCCUCACUACCCCGCUCUGAUCCUUCUGUGGAAUUAUCUGUACGGAUCAGAAGUUCAGGAGCUGGGGGGCAGGAGGCUCUGAAGUCAGACUGCCUAAGUUCAAGUACUUACUUCUAAGUGAGACCUGGGACAAAUGAAUUCUUCUCUCUGAGCCCCCACGGUCUUGUGUGUUAAGUGGGGAUGAUGGUACCAGCCCUGGGUUGUCUUAAGGAAUAAAGGUGGUCCAGGAAAAGUCCUGGGACUAACACCA